GACAGAGGAUGCAAGCGUUAUCCGGAAUGAUUGGGUGUAAAGCGUCUGUAGGUGGCUUUUUAAGUCCGCCGUCAAAUCCCAGGGCUCAACCCUGGACAGGCGGUGGAAACUACCAAGCUGGAGUACGGUAGGGGCAGAGGGAAUUUCCGGGUGGAGCGGUGAAAUGCGUAGAGAUCGGAAAGAACACCGGUGGCGAAAGCGGCGCGCUGGAUCCCUACUGACGCUGAGGCACGAAAGCCAGGGAGCAAACGGG
rnacentral:rRNA from 1 species